UAUAUAUUAGUGUAAUUAUGCACGAAAAAUUUUGAGUUUUUUAGAUUUAAUUAAUUUUAUAGUAUAUAA
rnacentral:tRNA from 1 species